AGAGUAGAACACCAGACAACAUGAUUGAACAAAGGAGGAAUGUUAAAAUGAUAUCGGACUGUAACUUUUGAAAAUGAGCUAAGCAGACUACUGCUGUAUUAUUAUUUGUAUGUUGGCGGAAGUCCUAUUUUUAAUUCGAACCGAAGUGAAGCUGGAGUCACAUGUUCUCUAUUCUCCAUUUUGUCUUGUGACUUUAAGCAGAGAGUCACAUGUUGAAAUAUAACGUCUCGGUCCUCUACCUCCCUGAUCUAAAAGGUCCGUAGACUACAGAUAAACAUUGUCAUCUAGUUAACGUCGCCUGAACUCUGCAAUCGACCAUAAACACACGUUUCUACAAUGAAUCAGGUCUGUAGACUAGAGAUAAACAGCUAGUUAACUUCGCCUGAACUCUGCAAUCGACCAUAAACACACGUUUCUACAAUGAAUCAGGUCCGUAGACUAGAGAUAAACAUCUAGUUAACUUCACCUGAA